CGUAAUCAUUGUACUGGCGAGCUUCUGCCGCGGCUGGUUCGGGAUGGUGGUGGCGAUGGUGGUGGUGGUGCCGAAAGCGGCUCAGUUAUUAACAUUCUCUGGUUGCAUCUGCUGCUGCGCAUUCAAUGGCGUGCAUGCCUGACAGAGGACGAUUUCCAUGAGAUUCAUUCAGCCGACCGUCGACUCUCCCCAAAUAAAGCCACCUACGUCGCCUAUCAACUGCGGCAUCUGCACCAAAAGGGAGCAAGGAGACAAGCCCUCCCCCAUGGACGCCUACCACUGUGAUCUACACACGCCACACACUCACACACACAUGGAAGAAAUAACCCAGCAUCUUCGCCGGUCGGAUGAGGACAAGGAGCCCUAGAUCUCCGCCUUUUGUACCUGCAAAGGAAAGGGCACAUACCGUUACCAUUACCAAUAUGUGGAGAUGCUUUGAUUGAAAUGAUGGACGACAUAUUUACUGGCAACCCAGCCAAGUUGGCAAAGUAUUCGAUGAACUGUCUUGGAUCAUCUGAUUGAUCUUUAAAGUUCGCUUCCUCUGCGUUUUAUUUUGCUGUGCUUUGAACUCGUGCUGCCCCUGAGCAUGCGU